ACUGUCUCUUAUAUAAUCAAUGAAACUGAUCUCCUAGUAAAAAAGCUAAGAUACACCCAUAAGACCAGAAGACCCUGUGAAGCUUAAAUUAAACUAUUAAAACCCAUAAUAGCUCCUUUCGGUUGGGGCGACCUUGGAAAAAAAAAGAACUUCCAAAUAAAGUGAACUUUACUUCACACAACUUAGGCCUACAAGCCAAUAACGACCCAGCAUAGCUGAAAAAUGAACCAAGUUACUCCAGGGAUAACAGCGCAAUCUUCUUCAAGAGCCCAUAUCAAAAAGAAGGUUUACGACCUCGAUGUUGGAUCAGGACAUCCUAAUGGUGCAGCCGCUAUUAAGGGUUCGUUUGUUCAACGAUUAAUA
rnacentral:rRNA from 1 species